AUGAACGCUGGCGGCGUGCCUAAUACAUGCAAGUCGAGCGAACGGACGAGAAGCUUGCUUCUCUGAUGUUAGCGGCGGACGGGUGAGUAACACGUGGAUAACCUACCUAUAAGACUGGGAUAACUUCGGGAAACCGGAGCUAAUACCGGAUGAUAUUUUGAACCGCAUGGUUCAAAAGUGAAGGACGGUCUUGCUGUCACUUAUAGAUGGAUCCGCGCUGCAUUAGCUAGUUGGUAAGGUAACGGCUUACCAAGGCAACGAUGCAUAGCCGACCUGAGAGGGUGAUCGGCCACACUGGAACUGAGACACGGUCCAGACUCCUACGGGAGGCAGCAGUAGGGAAUCUUCCGCAAUGGGCGAAAGCCUGACGGAGCAACGCCGCGUGAGUGAUGAAGGUCUUCGGAUCGUAAAACUCUGUUAUUAGGGAAGAACAUAUGUGUAAGUAACUGUGCACAUCUUGACGGUACCUAAUCAGAAAGCCACGGCUAACUACGUG
rnacentral:rRNA from 1 species